rnacentral:rRNA from 1 species
CCAAUAGCGUAUAUUAAAGUUGUUGCAGUUAAAAAGCUCGUAGUUGAAUUUCGGGAUCAAUACAUCGGUCGUGCCUUGGUACGUACUGGUGUCAUUGGUUUCUCCUUUCUGACGAACCAUGAUGUCAUUAAUUUGGUGUUAUGGGAAGUUAGGACUGUUACUUUGAAAAAAUUAGAGUGUUUAAAGCAGGCUUUAGCUUG